GGGUGAGCAGGUGGGUCUGGGUAGGGUGAUGUAGUUGAUGGAAGGGGGUGUGAGCAGGUGGGUCUAGACAGGGUGAUGUAGUUGAUGGAGGGGGGGUGUGAGCAGGUGGGUCUAGACAGGGUGAUGUAGUUGAUGGAGGGGGGGUGAGCAGGUGGGUCUAGACAGGGUGAUGUAGUUGAUGAGGGGGGGUGAGCAGGUGGGUCUAGAUAGGGUGAUGUAGUUGAUGAGGGGGUGUGAGCAGGUGGGUCUAGACAGGGUGAUGUAGUUGAUGGAGGGGGGGUGAGCAGGUGGGUCUAGACAGGGUGAUGUAGUUGAUGAGGGGGGUUGUGACGUAGUUUGGGUGACGUAGUUUACAAGAAAAAAAGGAAUUCAUAUACCACGUUAAGUCAAAAAAAACAAUUGUCGACCAGAAUAAUCUGGUUUUAAGUCAUGUGAGGAAGAGGGAGCAGAUUGUCUAGAGGUUGUGGUGAAGAUAAUAUGUUACCAUCUUGGCAGGUUGUAGUGAAGUUAAUGUGUUACCAUCUUGGCAGGUUGUGGUGAAGUUAAUGUGUUACCAUCUUGGCAGGUUGUGGUGAAGUUAAUGUCACCAUCUUGGCAGGUUGUGGUGAAGUUAAUAUGUUACCAUCUUGGCAGGUUGUGGUGAAGAUAAUAUGUUACCAUCUUGGCAGGUUGUAGUGAAGUUAAUGUGUUACCAUCUUGGCAGGUUGUGGUGAAGUUAAUGUGUUACCAUCUUGGCAGGUUGUAGUGAAGUUAAUAUGUCACCAUCUUGGCAGGUUGUAGUGAAGUUAAUAUGUUACCAUCUUGGCAGAUUGUAGUGAAGUUAAAGUGUUACCAUCUUGGCAGGUUGUAGUGAAGUUAAUGUGUCACCAUCUUGGCAGGUUGUAGUGAAGUUAAAGUGUUACCAUCUUGGCAGGUUGUAGUGAAGUUAAUGUGUCACCAUCUUGGCAGGUUGAAGUGAAGUUAAUGUGUCACCAUCUUGGCAGGUUGUAGUGAAGUUAAAGUGUUACCAUCUUGGCAGGUUGUAGUGAAGUUAAUGUGUCACCAUCUUGGCAGGUUGUAGUGAAGUUAAUGUGUCACCAUCUUGGCAGGUUGUAGUGAAGUUAAUGUGUCACCAUCUUGGCAGGUUGUAGUGAAGUUAAUGUGUCACCAUCUUGGCAGCCUCUGCCUCUCCCUCUGCCAGAAUAAUCUGGUUUUAAGUCAUGUGAGGAAGAGGGAGCAGAUU